ACUUGGCCAUACAUAUAUCCUCACCCUUACCUUAGCCCCAUUACAACCCUGAAAAGACCUCAUGAUGUUUGCAUUGGUAUACUAAAUAUUUGUUGAUUGGUUAGAUGAAGAACAAAGUUUUAGAAAGCAUGACUAGAGAAGAGUAGAGUGAUUAACCCCAUACACUUGAGUGAUUAGAGUGCAUAUACACCAUCAGUGAGGGUUCAAUGCUUGAUUCUAUGUUCCCUACUUUCAUGAGCUGUCUUCUUACAAGUUUACUUGUCUUU
rnacentral:lncRNA from 1 species